rnacentral:lncRNA from 1 species
GAACAGUACUACUAGCAGAAUCAGCCCUUCCUGCCUUUGUUAUUGCCUCAAGCUGAAAAGUCCCCUUGUGUUACACUGCUCGGUACCAAGUUCCAAAUUAAGAUUCAGAAAGGGAAGACGGCAGUAGACAGCAUCUCCCUUGAAGGCUGUAAUUGAUGCAUACAACUAUUUUGACACCGAUUCUGCUUGCAAUUGGUCUGACUGCAUUUCAGGCUCUG